AUACCAUGAUGAGGACAAGCUCUCGUGUAUCCUUUCAUACGCUCCCACGCAUCAUACAAACUCUCUUCCUCGCCUUGCUCAAAUCUAGUUAUAUCGUUCCUUAUCUU
rfam:Arabis alpina cultivar Pajares Aa.chr6_contig_2409, whole genome shotgun sequence.